CUUGGUCAUUUAGAGGAAGUAAAAGUCGUAACAAGGUCUCCGUAGGUGAACCUGCGGAGGGAUCAUUAAGAAUUGAACAGCAGUGUUAGGCGGAUUAGCCCGGCCGGAAUCACGGAUCGGGGCCCCUUCUCGCAAGUCGAGGGGGGAUUGCCUCCGCCUGGCACUGUUGCCCAUUCUAACCCUUUGUGAACUACAACUCUGUUGCUUCGGGGGCGACCCCGCCGUUUCGGCGGUGGCGCUCCCGGUAGCCAAUUAUUAAACUCUGCAUCUCUUGCGUCGGAGUCUUAAAGAAAUUUAAACAAAACUUUCAACAACGGAUCUCUUGGUUCUGGCAUCGAUGAAGAACGCAGCGAAAUGCGAUAAGUAAUGUGAAUUGCAGAAUUCAGUGAAUCAUCGAAUCUUUGAACGCACAUUGCGCCCCGUGGUAUUCCGCGGGGCAUGCCUGUUCGAGCGUCAUUUCACCACUCAAGCCUAGCUUGGUAUUGGGCGUCGCGACUUUGGUCGCGCGCCUUAAAGUCUCCGGCUGAGCAGUCUGUCUCCGAGCGUUGUGAUACAUAUUCGCUAGGGAUGACAGGUCUGUCGCGGCCGUUAAAUCUUUAUUACAGGUUGACCUCGGAUCAGGUAGGGAUACCCGCUGAACUUAAGCAUAUCAAUAAGCGGAGGAA
rnacentral:sRNA from 1 species